AUUGAAAGCUGGCGGCAGGACUAACAAAUGCAAGUCGAACGCGUGGCGGACGUGUGAGUAAUGUCUGGGAAACUGCCUGACGGAGGGGGCUAACUACUGGAAACGGUAGCUAAUACCGCAUACCAUCAGAUGUGCCCAGAUGGGAUUGGCUUUUUGGUGGGGUAACGGCUCACCCAGGCGACUAUCCCUAGCUGGUCUGAGAGGAUGACCAGCCACACUGGAACUGAGACACGUUCCAGACUCCUACGGGAGGCAGCAGUGGGGAAUAUUGCACAGUGGGCGCAAGCCUGAUGUAGCCAUGCCGCGUGUAGGAAGAAGGCCUUCGGGUUGUAAAGUACUUUCAGCGGGGAGGCGUUACCCGCAGAAGAAGCACCGGCUAACUCCGUGCCAGCCGCCGCGGUAAUUC
rnacentral:rRNA from 1 species